rnacentral:rRNA from 1 species
CCUACGGGAGGCAGCAGUGAGGAAUAUUGGUCAAUGGGCGGAAGCCUGAACCAGCCAAGUAGCGUGCGGGAUGACGGCCCUACGGGUCGUAAACCGCUUUUGCACGGGGAUAACACCCUCCACUUGUGGAGGUCUGCAAGUACCGUGCGAAUAAGGGCCGGCUAAUUCCGUGCCAGCAGCCGCGGUAAUACGGAAGGCCCGAGCGUUAUCCGGAUUCAUUGGGUUUAAGGGGGGCGUAGGCGGGCGUUCAAGUCAGCUGUAAAAUCGCGGGGCUCAACCGCGCACCGCAGUUGAAACUGGACGGCUUGAGUUCACAACAGGCAGGCGGAAUGCGUGGUGUAGCGGUGAAAUGCAUAGAGAUCACGAGGAACCCCGAUUGCGAAGGCAGCCUGCCGGGGUGCGACUGACGCUGAGGCUCGAAGGUGCGGGUAUCAAACAGGAUUAGAUACCCCAGUAGUC